CCAGAGGCCAUUGCUAUCAGGGUUUGACUAAGCCAUGCGAGUCGAGAGGUGUAAGACCUCGGCAUACUGCUCAGUAACACGUGGUUAACCUGCCCUAAGGUGGAGAAUACUCCCGGGAAACUGGGACUAAUGCUCCAUAGUGGAUAUGUCCUGGAAUGAUAUAUCCUCGAAAGAUCCGUCGCCUUAGGAUGGGACUGCGUCCGAUUAGGUUGUUGGCGGGGUAACGGCCCACCAAGCCAUUGAUCGGUACGGGUUGUGGGAGCAAGAUCCCGGAGAUGGAUUCUGAGACAUGAAUCCAGGCCCUACGGGGCGCAGCAGGCGCGCAAACUUUACAAUGCGAGCAAUCGUGAUAAGGAAACCCUGAGUGCCUGUCGAUGCAGGCUGUUCAUAUAUCUAAAUCAUAUGUGAAGAAAGGGCAGGGCAAGACCGGUGCCAGCCGCCGCGGUAAUACCGGCUGCUCGAGUGAUGGCCACUAUUACUGGGCUUAAAGGGUCCGUAGCUUGAUUCACAAGUCCCUUGAGAAAUCCAUCGGCUUAACUGAUGGGCGUUCAGGGGAUACUGUGGUUCUAGGGACCGGGAGAGGUGAGAGGUACUGCCGGGGUAGGAGUGAAAUCCUGUAAUCCCGGUGGGACGACCUAUGGCGAAGGCAUCUCACCAGAACGGCUCCGACAGUGAGGGACGAAAGCUGGGGGAGCAAACCGGAUUAGAUACCCGGGUAGUCCCAGCUGUAAACGAUGCGCGUUAGGUGUGUCAGUGAUCACGUGUCACUGAGAUGCCGAAGGGAAACCGUGAAACGCGCCGCCUGGGGAGUACGGUCGCAAGGCUGAAACUUAAAGGAAUUGGC
rnacentral:rRNA from 1 species